UACGAACUGUGCGAACGUUAUUCGGAAUCACUGGGCUUACAGGGUGCGUAGGCGGCUUGUUAAGUAGGGUGUGAAAGCCCCCGGCUCAACCGGGGAAUUGCGCCCUAAACUGGCGAGCUGGAGUGAGAUAGGGGUGUGUGGAACUUCCGGUGGAGCGGUGAAAUGUGUUGAUAUCGGAAGGAACGCCGGUGGCGAAAGCGACACACUGGAUCUUGUCUGACGCUGAGGCACGAAAGCCAGGGGAGCGAACGGG
rnacentral:rRNA from 3 species